CCUUGAACAAGCUAACCAAGUCCCACCCGCAACCUCGUCUCUCCCUCCAGCUAUCUCACCAUCCUCCCACCAUGACGCCGGUCUCGUAGGCCUGAGAAUGAGGGAGUAAAGCGGAUGAGACUGCCAAAGAAAUGCUGCAAUACACAUGGUUUCCUGAAAAGUAUGAACCGGGAGAAGUUUGAAGCUUUGCUUUUAUGUCGGUUUGUGAGUGAAGCUGAUUUUGACACGCAAUGUUAUUAAUACAUCUCUGGAUUGAAUCAAAUAUGCCAUUUGCAGAUGCUAGAAAACGUCUCGUUCUUAUCCCAAAGGCAGCUGGUUUUGAAAAAUGUGGAAAGGUGCUGCGGUUUCAUGGUGGGUUUAGUCCAUAAUUGCAGAUGUUGAGAAAAAUAUGUUUGUGGAAAUGCCUGUGGGCGGCUAUAUUUGUGAAUAAAAUUCAAUAGUUUUUAUAUGUGAAGGUUGAUGUUUAGACAAGAGGUGCUAGAAGACUAUUGGAACCAGGCAUGCAUAGGUAUCCUAGUAAGAUUAUGACAUUCUAAAAUUACCUGAGAUGGAUAAACAAUUCGAAGUGUUUUUCUUG